rnacentral:tmRNA from 1 species
GGGGGCGACAGGUUUCGACGGUAAAGAAAGGGUUUAAGUGGCAUGCCGAGAAAGUCAGAGGGCUCGUUAAAAUACUGGCAACGUCAUAAUUGACACUUACAACUACGCUCUGGCAGCUUAAUUUUAGCUGCCAUGCCGCUGCAGGUCCCCGCCUAUCGAAUCUGCAAACGGCAUCGCAAAGAUGGGCUGGUCAGGAACGCCCGGCCCGGGCAUUCCUGAUGAGACUUUGGGCUGCUCCCUUUAAGGACCGUGUUUGUGCGGGCUUUUUAGGGAAAAGAUCAAAACACAAAACAAGCAUGUAGAGGCUUAGGUUCUUACCUUAUCGGACGUGGGUUCAAUUCCCACCGCCUCCACCA